CUUUGAAGUAGUGGCAGCUCUGUAGGUUUGCUGUACCUCUGCCUCAACUACAUGUAAGGCUGGCUUCCCUAAUAGGACUUGAGCUGGGACCUUAAGUUCAAAAGAAUUAACCUUUGCUCACAGCAUGAGAGAAAUGAUAGUUACACAUUCACUUUUGUGCCUCUGGCUAGUAUGGAGUCCAUCUCGGUAUUGAUGUCAGACACAGAAGACGUGGUACAUGGAAGAAAUAAUAGAAGGCCAUCCACUGGCAGAAAAGAAUGAAUUAAUUGGGAAACUGAGGGAGGGACUUUAGAAUUAUUAAAGAGAGAACUUCUUCAGAAUACCAUCUACCAAUUUUUCCCCCUCAAAUAUCUGCUGUUGUCUGUAAUGACUGGGUCAGUUUCAAUGUUUAUUUUCAGCCAAGAAAAUAUUCUCGUGUUCCUAAAGGCACAGAAGUCUAACAUUGAAUAAGGUGUUAUGGUUUUCCAGGUUGCUUUGUGAUUUCUUUUCAUGAAUAUUAAACAACCCAGGUGAUGA